GUUCCAGGGGGUUCCUUUGAAAACUUCCUGCGGUGUCCAGGAGCGAGCAGCCUGCUGCACACAGGACGCAAUGCCUGCUGAAAUCCCAGAUGAAAGGACAUCUGGACCUUGACAACGGAGCGAAGGGGUGGUCCUGCCUGCACCAGGUUUCAGGUGAGGAGAUUGAGGCCCACAGAGAUCCGGGACUGGCCUCACUUAGCUGGGUGAACAUGAAAAAUAGAAGCCUCCAGUUUCUCCUGAUAGUGUAUAGAUGGGCAGAUCUGGCCUCAAUGGCAGAAGAUACUUGGGGAACUGGAGAAAGUACAGAAGGUGAUGUGAAAUCAAUUGGGUCAUCAAAAGAAGACGGGUGUACCACAAUUUGUUCCUCCACCUGCUG
rnacentral:lncRNA from 10 species